AUUGAACGCUGGCGGCAGGCCUAACACAUGCAAGUCGAGCGCGAAAGUUCUUCGGAAUGAGUAAAGCGGCGGACGGGUGAGUAAUACAUGGGAAUCUGCCUGGUAGUGGGGAACAACGUUUCGAAAGGAACGCUAAUACCGCAUACGCCCUACGGGGGAAGGGGGGGAGUCUUCGGACCUCUCGCUAUCAGAUGAGCCCA
rnacentral:rRNA from 1 species